rnacentral:rRNA from 1 species
UGCCAGCCGCCGCGGUAACACCAGCGCCACAAGUGGCAACCGCUUUUAUUGGGCCUAAAGCGUCCGUAGCCGGUUCUAUAAAUUUCCUGUGAAAUCGUUGUACUCAAUAUAACGACGUGCAGGAAAGACUGUAGAACUAGGGACCGGGAGGCGUCAGAGGUAUUCUGGAGGGAGCGGUAAAAUGCUAUAAUCUCCAGAGGACCCCCUGUGGCGAAGGCGUCUGACGAGAACGGAUCCGACGGUGAGGGACGAAAGCCAGGGGAGCGAACCGGAUUAGAUA